GUACGGGAGGCAGCAGUGGGGAAUUUUGCGCAAUGGGCGAAAGCCUGACGCAGCGACGCCGCGUGGAGGACGAAGGUCUUCGGAUUGUAAACUCCUUUUGCAGGGGAAGAUAAUGACGGUACCCUGCGAAUAAGCCACGGCUAACUCUGUGCCAGCAGCCGCGGUAAGACAGAGGUGGCAAGCGUUGUUCGGAAUUACUGGGCUUAAAGGGCGCGUAGGCGGUGGAGUAAGUCCGAGGUGGAAUCCUGAGGCUUAACCUUAGAAUUGCCUUGGAAACUGCAUCACUUGAGUCAGCGAGGGGAUGGCGGAAUUCCCAGUGUAGCGGUGAAAUGCGUAGAUAUUGGGAGGAAGGCCGGUGGCGAAGGCGGCCAUCUGGCGCUGAACUGACGCUGAGGCGCGAAAGCGUGGGGAGCAAACAGGAUUAGAUACCCCGGU
rnacentral:rRNA from 1 species